rnacentral:rRNA from 1 species
AGCCUGAACGCUGGCGGCGUGGCUAAGACAUGCAAGUCGUACGGGCGUAGCAAUACGUCAGUGGCGAACGGGUGAGUAAUGUAUCGCUAACGUACCCCUAUGUCCGGGAUAGCUGAGGGAAACUUCAGGUAAUACCGGGUGACAUUCUCUUUUCGCAUGAAGAGAGACUCAAAGGGAAACCGCAAAGGGAGCGGGCGAUAUCGUAUCAGCUAGUUGGUGAGGUAAUGGCUCACCAAGGCAAUGACGCGUAGCCGGACUGAGAGGUCGGACGGCCACAUUGGGACUGAGACACUGCCCAGACUCCUACGGGGGGCUGCAGUAACGAAUCUUCCGCAAUGCACGCAAGUGUGACGGAGCGACGCCGCGUGUGGGACGAAGUCCUUCGGGAUGGUAAACCACUGUCAGGGGUUACCAAGUUCUGAGGAACCCCAGAGGAAGGCACGGCUAACUCUGUGCCAGCAGCCGC